GAGUUUGAUCAUGGCUCAGGAUGAACGCUAGCGGGAGGCCUAACACAUGCAAGCCGAGCGGUAUUUGUCUUUCGGGACAGAGAGAGCGGCGUACGGGUGCGGAACACGUGUGCAACCUGCCUUUAUCAGGGGGAUAGCCUUUCGAAAGGAAGAUUAAUACCCCAUAAUAUAUUGACUGGCAUCAGUCGAUAUUGAAAACUCCGGUGGAUAGAGAUGGGCACGCGCAAGAUUAGAUAGUUGGUAGGGUAACGGCCUACCAAGUCAGUGAUCUUUAGGGGGCCUGAGAGGGUGAUCCCCCACACUGGUACUGAGACACGGACCAGACUCCUACGGGAGGCAGCAGUGAGGAAUAUUGGACAAUGGGUGAGAGCCUGAUCCAGCCAUCCCGCGUGAAGGACGACGGCCCUAUGGGUUGUAAACUUCUUUUGUAUAGGGAUAAACCUUUCCACGUGUGGAAAGCUGAAGGUACUAUACGAAUAAGCACCGGCUAACUCCGUGCCAGCAGCCGCGGUAAUACGGAGGGUGCAAGCGUUAUCCGGAUUUAUUGGGUUUAAAGGGUCCGUAGGCGGAUCUGUAAGUCAGUGGUGAAAUCUCAUAGCUUAACUAUGAAACUGCCAUUGAUACUGCAGGUCUUGAGUAAAGUAGAAGUGGCUGGAAUAAGUAGUGUAGCGGUGAAAUGCAUAGAUAUUACUUAGAACACCAAUUGCGAAGGCAGGUCACUAUGUUUUAACUGACGCUGAUGGACGAAAGCGUGGGGAGCGAACAGGAUUAGAUACCCUGGUAGUCCACGCCGUAAACGAUGCUAACUCGUUUUUGGGUCUUCGGAUUCAGAGACUAAGCGAAAGUGAUAAGUUAGCCACCUGGGGAGUACGUUCGCAAGAAUGAAACUCAAAGGAAUUGACGGGGGCCCGCACAAGCGGUGGAUUAUGUGGUUUAAUUCGAUGAUACGCGAGGAACCUUACCAAGGCUUAAAUGGGAAUUGACAGGUUUAGAAAUAGACUUUUCUUCGGACAAUUUUCAAGGUGCUGCAUGGUUGUCGUCAGCUCGUGCCGUGAGGUGUUAGGUUAAGUCCUGCAACGAGCGCAACCCCUGUCACUAGUUGCCAUCAUUCAGUUGGGGACUCUAGUGAGACUGCCUACGCAAGUAGAGAGGAAGGUGGGGAUGACGUCAAAUCAUCACGGCCCUUACGCCUUGGGCCACACACGUAAUACAAUGGCCGGUACAGAGGGCAGCUACCUAGCGAUAGGAUGCGAAUCUCGAAAGCCGGUCUCAGUUCGGAUUGGAGUCUGCAACUCGACUCUAUGAAGCUGGAAUCGCUAGUAAUCGCAUAUCAGCCAUGAUGCGGUGAAUACGU
rnacentral:rRNA from 1 species